GUGCUCACUUCAGCAGCACAUACAUUAAAAUUGGAAUGAAACAGAUGAUUAGCACAUCCUCUGUGCAAAGCUGACACACAAAUUCAUGAAGGGUUCCAUAUUUUU
rnacentral:snRNA from 1 species